ensembl:lncRNA
AAAGACUUCAAUCUGAUGCCAGACAAGAACGAAGCCCCGGACCGGCCCGGAGAGGAGAGACGCACACGCAGCGCUACUCUACACCCGCGUAACGAUCGGCACGGCCGAGAGGUCAAAGGUCAGCGUGUUCCGUGGCAGUAAGGGUCCAGUACAAGCCCGGUAUCUUCACCUCAGAGACAUGUUUUGGUGCUGAGAGAGGGAUCUGGAGUCGGUGUAGAUCCUCCAUCAUGAUGAAGUGUAAUUCAAUGACGUCCAUUUAAACCGACGCGUUUGGUUCCCGCGUGAUCAGACGGUGAUUAGACUCCAGUCGGGCGUUGCUCUGGACGCUGCAGCGGGAACAUUAAAGAGCUGUACAUUCGGAACGUUCACUAACGAGCGUGUUCGUCAAGCCUGUUCAUUUCUUCACUCAUACGAUAGGGGUCCAGAGCAGCUCGGGACGUGCUGGAGAUCCACCGGAGAGUCACGGAGUGAACGAAUCCGCAGCAACCGCAUGAUGCAAUCGUUUCAACACGCAGCGGAAUCUCAGAGGAGCGUCGCACCAUGUGGAACCCAGGCCACGAACUGAGGCUGUGUGUGUGUGUGUGUGUGUGUGUGUGUGUGUGUACCACAGAGAGUUGAGAUGUUUCCCUGUACUGAGAACAGGAGCAGAAGACAUGUUUACUCCUGUCUCAGUGAGCAGUGUGUACAGGAGGAAGGAGCAGAACACACGUGCUGUACGUACGAGGAGGUGAUGACAUCAUCACAGUGUAGAUGUGAUUGUAUCAGUGCGUUUUCCUAUCACACUCCUGCUUUACAUACGUGUGUGUGUGUGUGUGUGUGUGUGUGUGUGGAUACACACACUCUAUCUCUCUCUCACACUCUCUCUCACUCUCUCUACGUCUCUGUUACUUGUCUAUCAGUCUCUGAGGUUUUUGAGAGUCUCACUGUCUGUCUGUCUGUCUGUGUUGUUUAGGGUGUCUAUCUGUCUCUCUCUCUACAUCUGUCUGUCUGUUUCUCCAUCUGUUUGGGUGUCUCACUAGCUAUAUGUCAUCUCUCCCACCUCUCUAACUCUCUAUCAACUCCCCAGCUGUCCGUCUCUCUCUUUCUCUGUACCACUUCCUGUCCCCCACUCUGUCCGUCUCUAUAUCUCUGUACCACUUCCUGUCCCCCACUCUGUCCGUCUCUUUCUCCGACUCUCUCUCCGGUAUCUCAGAGUUAGAGGUGAGGGGGUGUGAUUCUCAAGCUGUUCCAC